CGAAGGUUGGCUAAUCCUGGUCGGACAUCAGGAGGUUAGUGCAAUGGCAUAAGCCAGCUUGACUGCGAGCGUGACGGCGCGAGCAGGUGCGAAAGCAGGUCAUAGUGAUCCGGUGGUUCUGAAUGGAAGGGCCAUCGCUCAACGGAUAAAAGGUACUCCGGGGAUAACAGGCUGAUACCGCCCAAGAGUUCAUAUCGACGGCGGUGUUUGGCACCUCGAUGUCGGCUCAUCACAUCCUGGGGCUGAAGUAGGUCCCAAGGGUAUGGCUGUUCGCCAUUUAAAGUGGUACGCGAGCUGGGUUUAGAACGUCGUGAGACAGUUCGGUCCCUAUCUGCCGUGGGCGCUGGAGAACUGAGGGGGGCUGCUCCUAGUACGAGAGGACCGGAGUGGACGCAUCACUGGUGUUCGGGUUGUCAUGCCAAUGGCACUGCCCGGUAGCUAAAUGCGGAAGAGAUAAGUGCUGAAAGCAUCUAAGCACGAAACUUGCC
rnacentral:rRNA from 1 species